rnacentral:rRNA from 1 species
UGAGUAACCUGCCCUGGACUUUGGGAUAACCCUCGGAAACGGGGGCUAAUACCGGAUAUGACGGCUCACCGCAUGGUGUGGUUGUGGAAAGUUUUUCGGUCUGGGAUGGGCUCGCGGCCUAUCAGCUUGUUGGUGGGGUCAUGGCUCACCAAGGCGACGACGGGUAGCUGGUCUGAGAGGACGACCAGCCACACUGGAACUGAGAUACGGUCCAGACUCCGUACGGGAGGCA